AGAUAUUUUCCCCUUUAAUUUAUCAUCUUUUUCACUUAGGGUAAAAAAGAGAGAGAGGAAGCAGAUCGGCGCCCCUACCUCUAAUCUCCAAGACCUUAGAACCAAACACACUGAAGAACACCAGUGAUUGUAUCAUCUUCUUCACCUCACUGCCGCCGUCGGCCAGCUUAUCUCCAGCCACGCCACCAUAGCCGCUAGACCUCGACCACCCUAUCAUUCCGCCUCUCACCAGCCACAAACCCAAGAAAAACUCCACCCCAACAACAAGCAGUCGUAGCUGCUCACACUCCUCAUAAUCUAAAGAACAAAACCAGCUGCCCCUACUUCCCCAAAUCAUAUAAAAUUUUCAGUUUCCUUUUAAUUCCGUUUGUUCUCAAAUCCAAACAAGAAAACAUGUUUCUUCUUCUCGAUUUCAAUCGCGUCUUUUCAGAAAUGGAGUUUGAUUGAGGUCAUUUUGGGUUCGGGUUGAAGCAGCCGUCCGAGGUCAGUUCGUGGUCUUGGUCGGGGCUCCAUUGUUCAAUUUUGACGUUGUUUCUCGUCUGAUUUUUGGGAUCGAAGGAGUGUAUGUUUGCUGAAUUUUUUUUCACUAUUGAUUAAAAGAAUUUCAGUUUAACAGGUUCAUUUCUAUCUUCCCUAUUUCAUUCGAUUUUUAUUAGAUUUAAUUUUUCUUCUGUUACUUGGAUUAUGUUUCACUUUUAUGUUUAAGUGCUUAUGGGUUUGAAUAUGUUUUCUUGGAAAUAUUGAUUGCGUCGAGUCACACACGAAUAUGUGGUGUGUUCGAUUAGUCUUCUUGCUUGAAUUUUAACUGAUUCGUCGCUCGAGAUUGUCCUAAUUCGCUUGUUGAUAAAGAUUUGUUUGUGCCUCUAUAGUAUGGUUUGAAUUGGUUAUGCUUGUCAUCUUUCAGGAUUCCUAAGAUAAGCCAAAAUUUCACCUAUUUGAGUUCGAACUUCGAAUUAGUGUACUUUGUCAGAUUUUCUUGAUUAUGUGUUAAAAUCGGCACGUAAUUGAUCUUCUACUAUUAGAGAUGCUAGAAUAGAACCUAAAAACUUGAAGUUAUUUUGCUAUUUGAAAGGAUUUGAAUAUCUCUGUUUUAGUCCAUGGUGUUGGCCGUCAAAAUAUCAAGAUCUAGUUCCUCGAUUCGUUAAUUUAGAUUAAAUGGAUUUCAUGUGCGGAGUGUGAUGUUUAGCAUUUUAUCCUUACAAUGAUAUAGUUUUUACAUAAUCAUCAUUGUGAGCACGUGAUUUUUGCUUCACGAAAAACUACUCCAAAAGAAAUCAAAAAAAUAAAACAAAAUUCUCUUGGUGAGCAAUUUUUAGGAUUUGCGUGCUAUUUUUGGAUAAUUGUUUGUGUUUUUGUCCUUAAAUAUUUACUUUGUUGUAGUUAAUUAAAAAAUACAAAAAAAUACAUGCUGCAUAUCUAGGAUUUAAUUAUGCAUUUAAGAAUUAAUUAAACCAUUAAUUGGCUCUAAAAGGAAAAUCAUAAAAAUAUGCGUUUUAUUCUAUUUGUUGUCAUUCUGUGAUUUUAUUUUAAGAUUUUAAUCUGCGUGUUAAUUGUUGUAAGUUGUUAAUUAAUAUUUGUGUAGUUUUAUUUUUGAUUUUACAAUUUAAUUAGGAAUUAUUUUUAAAUUAAAUUAAAGAAGGAAAAGGAAAAGAGUUCAAAAAAAUGAAGUAAAUUCGGACUGGGCCAGUUUUAAAAAGAGAGUUCAGGCCCAAAAGUCACACGCCCACCCGGCCCAGGUCUGUCAACCCAAAAGAUCAUCAAACGACGUAGUCUAGGGCAAGAGCUACGUCGUUUUGAUGGUGCCCGUCCAGUUAAUCUCAAAAGACAACCAAACGACGUUGUAUUGGCAUUUUCCAUCUGGAUCAUUGAUCAAAUAGAUCUAAUCGUCUAGUUCAGUUCUUUUAUUAAACCAAACGACGCCAUGUGAUUGUAUUUAAUCGGGACCGUUCAUUGCUUUUGAUCUAACGGCUCCCAGGCCUUCCCUCAUGACCCGACUCACUCCCGUCUGAGACCGACCCAAACCCCUCUGUUUAAACAAAACGACACCGUUCCCUUAAGUGAAGAGAUCCUGGCCAUCAAUCUCACCUGAUCCAACGGCCAGGAUCCAUCCCUCCCCUUUGUAUAUAAGCCCCAAUUCUCACCCCACGCCCCAAACCAAACACCCCCCAUUGCCCUGUUCAUCAUCGUCUCAGAGACGAAGCCCCCCCAAACCCUAGCCGCCCUAGCUCCCCUUCGCCUGAAACCCGGCGGCAAUAACGCUGCCGGCCACCACCUUAAUACCAUAAGAUCAUCUGACCACCCCCAUUCCAAAUAUGUUACUCGUUUGGUUCGAAUCUUCCCCCAUCUUCUCGAAUCUUCAUUUGAAGAUUCGAGCCAAACGGAAACCUACACCAACCAAUCCCAAAUUCAUACCAGGCAACCCCUAGACCUCCCUCAUACCAUAAAUGACUUUGGUUCCGUUCAAAUCUGUCUAGAAAUGUUCGAACCUUAAAUCGAAAACCAGGAACCCUAGAAAUUCCAAAUCAUGGAAUCCAUCCAAAUUAAGUGAGGAUUUGGGGUCUAAUCGACCUUAAUCGAAGUGUUCUCAGUUGAGAACACUUCGACUAAGGUCUGUUCGACCUCAAAGUGUCUGAGUCCGAGUUUCGAGCCUGUGUCCGUAUAGUUCUGGUAUUCUGAGGUAUUUUUCUUCUUUCAUUUGUCUGUGUUCAUGUUUUUUUAUCUAUGUAUCUGUUUAUUUGUUAGUUUAGUUUUAUUGUUUUAAAAUUCUUUUUGUCAAUUGAUUCUGUUCAUCUUCAGUGGACCUUUUAUUUGGUCUGAUUCUGUCAUUUGUUUAUGUUUGUUGUAAUUAUUAUGUGUUAUAAAUUGUGUAAUCGAUUAAUAAGUUACCUCGAUUAAUUAGUUUCCUGUUAGUGUAUGAUUCUGUCAAUAACACUGAUUGCCUAUUGCUUUGUUGCUGAUUUGUUCAGUGUCAAUUGUAAUAUAUAAUCGGUUAAUUAAGCUUCGUUGAUUAGGUCGUUCGUAUAGUUUGAAUCAUUCGACAUUCUGUUGUUUAUAGUUUUCAAUUUGUUAGUUAUCCGAUUAAUUCAGAUUCUGUUUUGAUUAUGAGCAUUGUUCUGAAUCCCUGGAAUCUUUAUAUUUGAUGUAUUUUCUGCCUUAAAGUACUAGCUGAAUUGGUUAUAGCUGUAAUCAAAUCAGUUUUGGUUAAUUGUUAGUUAAACAGAUUUCAGAUUUAAGAUUUUAAUACAGUUGAAUAGUUGUAUUAGGAGGUAGUAAUAUUAAGGGGUUUUCAGGGUUGGUUUAGGAAUGAAACAGUUAGGUUUAUAUUUUAGUGUUAGUGCUUUGUUAGUGGGGCAUUAAUUAAUACACUAAUGGGGAACAAAAGGGAAUGGGGCUGAAAAUAAGGAAAAACUUCCUUAGUGGGAUUUAAAGCAAAAAAAAUCAGAUUUUUAGUGGAAAAUUCUGAUUUGAAUAAGGAAAAGGGGUCGGGCAGUAUAUUUGAAGGGGGGGGGGGCAGAUUUGUAUAAAAAGGAGAUUGAGGACUGAAUUUGGAAAAAAGAAAAAAAAAUUCAGAACUAAAGAGGAGGAAAAAAAACUUGAAUACUCAACUGAAAAAAAAGUUGAAUUCUAAAAGCUGGAAAAUUCUGAAUUCUAUAGCUAUUUUCAUUAUUUGGCUGGUUUAGGAUCUGAGAUUAGCCAGAACUGUCUUCCUUUUACUUCUGCUCUAUACUUGGGGAAGUAUAUAGUUGCUGGCUAUUUGUGGCUGCACUGUUGGUUACCAUUUCUGUUUGCUACUACUGUUGCUGCUGACUCUCUCCUCCUUCUUCUCGUGUUGUCAAUACCAAUAAUUGUUUGGCAUUGUUGUUGAUCAAGUAGUAAUUUCCCGAAGUGUGCUAUUGGACAUCUGUUACUGUUUCAUUGCUCUUUCUGGGUUUUUCUCCAUUGAUUUUCUGGACUGCUAUUUGCCGGAUUUUGUUCCAUUAGUUUUAAGUUGCCUGUUGGUUAUUGUUGCUGUUGCUGUUGUUUGCUACUGAUCUACUAAUCUUCACCUUCUUCUUCUAUUCUAUUAUCAGGUACAUUACUUUGAAUCACCUCGACGUUUGAUUAUUAAAGAUUGAAAUAAAAUGGACAGAAGAUUUCUGUAUUUAAUUAUAGAAUAAUUGUAUUUUAGUUAGAUAUUAGUUAUGUGUUUCCAGUUAUAUGAAGGGUAGAGGCAUGUUGUAUUAAGACUAUUCUUAUAAGAUCGUUGAUUAGCAGCUAGAUAGGGCAUAACGUUAGAUUACAGACCUAAGAUCCUUAAAAUGACGUGAAUAUAUGUCAAUACAGUAUGCCUGUUUAAUUUGAGCAGAAUUGUUAGAUUGUUGAACUAUUGGCCGUAUUUCCGUAGGAAUUGCAUAGUUAUCAGUUUCAGUUUUGUUAAUUCAUAUGUUUAAAAUAAUGUAACUUCGGAAUCA
rnacentral:lncRNA from 1 species